rnacentral:rRNA from 1 species
UAGGGAAUAUUGGGCAAUGGAGGGAACUCUGACCCAGCCAUGCCGCGUGCAGGAUGAAGGCGUUAUGCGUUGUAAACUGCUUUUUAUAUAGGAAGAAAUAGUCCUUGCGAGGAAAGUUGACGGUACUAUAUGAAUAAGCACCGGCUAACUCCGUGCCAGCAGCCGCGGUAAUACGGAGGGUGCAAGCGUUGUCCGGAUUUAUUGGGUUUAAAGGGUGCGUAGGCGGUUUAUUAAGUCAGUGGUGAAAGACGGUCGCUCAACGAUUGCAGUGCCAUUGAUACUGGUAGACUUGAGUAUGAUUGAGGUAGCUGGAAUGGAUAGUGUAGCGGUGAAAUGCAUAGAUAUUAUCCAGAACACCAAUUGCGUAGGCAAGUUACUAAGUCAUAACUGACGCUGAGGCACGAAAGUGUGGGGUAUCAAACAGGAUUAGAUACCCACGUAGUCCCUGAGCGGGCUGGCAAGGCGCAU